rnacentral:rRNA from 1 species
UGAAUACGAGAUGCUACGGCAUUGAAGCAGUGUAUGUCAGACUUCCAAGAAAAGCUCGCAAUGUCAUAAACGAAAAAUGCCUGUACCAUAACCGACACAGGUGGGUAGGUAGAGUAUACUAAGGGGCGCGAGAUAACUCUCUCUAAGGAACUCGGCAAAAUGACUCCGUAACUUCGGGAGAAGGAGUGCCUUAUUUAUAAGGUUGCAAUAACAAGAUCCAAGCAACUGUUUAUCAAAAACACAGGUCUCCGCUAAGUCGUAAGACGAUGUAUGGGGGCUGACGCCCGCCCAGUGCCAGAAGGUUAAAGAAGUUGGUUAGCCUAGCGAAGCUGAUGACUGGAGCCCUGGUGAACGGCGGCCGUAACUAUAACGGUCCUAAGGUAGCGAAAUUCCUUGUCGGGUAAGUUCCGACCCGCACGAAAGGCGUAAUGAUUUGGAUACUGUCUCGGAGAGGGGCUCGGUGAAAUAGACUUGUCUGUGAAGAUGCGGACUACCUGCACCUGGACAGAAAGACCCUAUGAAGCUUUACUGUAACUUGAGAUUGAAAUUGGACUUUAUUUGCGCAGUAUAGGUGGGAGACGUUGAAAAUAUUCUUGCGGGAAUAUUUGAGUCAUCAGUGAGAUACCGCUCUUGUAAUGUUAGAUUUCUAACUUUGUAUCAUUAUCUGGUCAAAGGACAGUUUCAGGCGGGCAGUUUGACUGGGGCGGUCGCCUCCUAAACGGUAACGGAGGCGCACAAAGGUUUCCUCUGAACGUGUAGAAAUCGUAUCUAGAGUGUAAAGGCAUAAGGAAGCUUGACUGUGAGACCUACAAGUCGAGCAGGGACGAAAGUCGGUCUUAGUGAUCUGACGGUGCUGAGUGGAAAGGCCGUCACUCAACGGAUAAAAGUUACUCUAGGAUAACAGGCUGAUCUCCCCCAAGAGUUCACAUCGACGGGGAGGUUUGGCACCUCGAUGUCGGCUCAUCGCAUCCUGGGGCGGUAGUACGUCCCAAGGGUUGGGCUGUUCGCCCAUGAAAGCGGUACGCGAGCUGGGUUCAGAACGUCGUGAGACAGUUCGGUCCAUAUCCGGUGUAGGCGUUAGAAUAUUGAGAGGAGCCUUCUUUAGUACGAGAGGACCGAGAAGGACAUACCUCUGGUGUACCAGUUAUCGUGCCAACGGUAAACGCUGGGUAGCUAUGUAUGGAGAGGAUAACCGCUGAAAGCAUCUAAGUGGGAAGCCCACCUCAAGAUAAG